rnacentral:ncRNA from 1 species
AACUCCGGUGCCACGGGUGAUCUUCCCAAAGAAACAUGAUGGGGAAAGAAACCCCACCAAGCCCCACCCCUCCCGCCCGCGGCUCCCGCUCACUCUCGCGAGUGAACAUCACCAACUUGGCUGGCUUCGGGACAGGUUGACUGCUCUACGCUCAGCGCGGCACCACACAACCGCAGACAUGCGACGGCCCCCGCCGGGACGGCAAUCCCAGUGCGAGGGCCUGACCACCGAGGAAGACAGGACUUCCCG